rnacentral:rRNA from 1 species
CCUACGGGGGGCUGCAGUGGGGAAUAUUGGACAAUGGGCGAAAGCCUGAUCCAGCCAUGCCGCGUGUGUGAAGAAGGCCUUCGGGUUGUAAAGCACUUUCAGUGGGGAAGAAAGCCUUGGGGCUAAUACCCUCGAGGAAGGACAUCACCCACAGAAGAAGCACCGGCUAACUCCGUGCCAGCAGCCGCGGUAAUACGGAGGGUGCGAGCGUUAAUCGGAAUUACUGGGCGUAAAGCGCGCGUAGGCGGGUCUUAUAAGCCGGUUGUGAAAGCCCCGGGCUCAACCUGGGAACGGCAUCCGGAACUGUCAGGAGAGAGUGCAGGAGAGGAAGGUAGAAUUCCCGGUGUAGCGGUGAAAUGCGUAGAGAUCGGGAGGAAUACCAGUGGCGAAGGCGGCCUUCUGGACUGACACUGACGCUGAGGUGCGAAAGCGUGGGUAGCAAACAGGAUUAGAUACCCCGGUAGUC